AGUUCGGAAGUCGUGUUACGCAAUUUUCUGUUUUUUAUCUCAAGUGUUAAUUGUGGUAAUUAGUGCAUUUUCAGAAAGUAUUUUAUUUGCCGAUAAUUUAGACAAUAUUUCGGUGGCAGAAGAGUUUUCCCUUUGCUUCAAUGGGGUUUUCCAGUGGAAAUUGCACAGAAGUGACAAAAAGAUUUCUAAAGAGAAGGAAGAGGAUAAGGAAGAAAUCCCGGAAUCUCUUGUCUCACAAGAUGAGGAAACUGCUUUAACUGAAGGCCUAAAGAAAAUUCCCAGCCAUGUGAACAAAUGGAGAAGAGAUGGAAAGCCACACUUCAACUACGAUGUUUAAAAUAAGAAAAAUAUUGUUCCUCCCUUGCUGAAUUGAAAAAUGAAUGACCGAUUUUGGUCACCUCAUACGCUCACAAAAUGAUUAAUUUUGAUUUUGAGGAGUUGGAUGCUGGUUGCAAGACUUUCGUGAAUUGGGAAAAGAUUUCUUAAUCCCCGUUGAAAAUUUCCGAAAAGGAAUACAACCCCACCAAUCCAGGUAAAUUAUAAAAAAAAAAAACAAUUUUUCGUGUCUUAAUAUUUUCUUUUUAUAAAAAAUAUGUGCUUAAAAAGAUAUUAAAUAAAAAAAUAAUGUUAUAUUGUAAAUUAUGUACUAAAAACUCUUCCAUUAAAAAUAUUUAUCAGAGAAAUAAAAUUCGUGUUUCAUUUAUUUUAUUUCGUACGGAUAUGGAUUCCGAUGUGGAAGCAUUAAAAAAAAGUGGUGGAAAAUUCACACUUUUAUUGGUGUAAAAGGAACACCUAUAUUUUCUUGAAAUGGUUUUAUACAAAACCCAGAAUGGUGUUCCAACAACGCUAAAUUUGGUGUUAAUAAUUGGUGUGAAAUUGGUGUAAUCAGAAACCCAAAGCCGAUGUUGGUUGCUAUUUUGGUACCAAUUGGUGUAUUCUGAACACCGAUUUGUGGUUGAGGUUGGUGUGUCCGACAACACCAAUUGGAGUUGUUACGCCACUGAAAUUUCUCUGUGUGUA